rnacentral:tRNA from 1 species
GCCUCGGUAGUCCAGCGGAAGAGACACGCCGCUCAAACCGGCGCCAGCGUGGGUUCGAAUCCCACCCGGGGCA